GGGCCCGCACAAGCGGUGGAGUAUGUGGUUUAAUUCGAUGCAACGCGAAGAACCUUACCAACACUUGACAUGUUCGUCGCGACUUUGAGAGAUCAAAGUUUUCGGUUCGGCCGGACGAAACACAGGUGCUGCAUGGCUGUCGUCAGCUCGUGUCGUGAGAUGUUGGUUAAGUCCCGCAACGAUGCGCAACCCUCACUUUUAGUUGCCAUCAUUAAGUUGGGCACUCUGAAAGAACUGCCAGUGAUAAGCUGGAGGAAGGUGGGGAUGACGUCAAGUCCUCAUGGCCCUUACGUGUUGGGCUACACACGUGCUACAAUGGUAUCUACAACAGGAAGCAAGACUGCGAAGUUAAG
rnacentral:rRNA from 1 species